GCCUGGUGGGUGGUACACCUGUAAUCCCAGCUACCAAGAGGCUAAGGCAGGAUAAUUGUUUAAGCCCGGGAGUGCCGGGCCAGCCUGGGUAACAUAGUAAGAUCCUAUCUAAA
rnacentral:sRNA from 1 species